AGGGUUGCCACCUGUGUCUGACAAAAAUCCUGGACAUUUUGAACAUCGGAUCGACCUUUUUGUUUGUAAGCAACGGUGCCCUUCGUACAUCUAUCUCAAGACAAAAAUCGCCCUUCUACGCUGAAAUUGUAUUGCUCUAAUUAGUAAAAAUGACACUUUUGCUAGUUAUUUGUUUAGUUAAUUGCUUUACAUAAUAGCAGGUCUUUAUUAUUUUGGUUUAUUUCCAACAGUUUUUAGUUGUGGAUACCUGGGGGCAGUACUGGGAAAAAAGGGGAAAUU